UGGCGACCAUAGCGUUUUGGACCCACCUGACUCCAUCCCGAACUCAGAAGUGAAACGAA
rnacentral:rRNA from 1 species